CUACCACUACUACAAAAACUUGAUCAAUACAUGGUGCCGUUAAGCAUGUAUGGUGCUUGGUUUGGGAGUGAAACAGAAACAAAAUGAAGGUAUUGCAGUGAACCGCAACACUGUUGAAAGAGAGUUACUAAUAACUCACCAUGUCGUCUGCGUUGCAGAAAAAAUUUAGUGCAUUAUACCAGGACAGGAGGGUUAAUUUGCUCACACUUCUAAUCGAGUCUGCCAUAUCAAUUUCACUUCAUGUUGGUGGCUGCCAUGUCCCUGGCUUGAAUGUUUGACCAGAUCCUGUUGGCUCUGUAGAC
rnacentral:lncRNA from 1 species